AAUCUCUUAGUCUUACUUGCUCAUCUGUUGCCAAGAGCUGGAAGAAGAUGGCCUCUGCAGGGUCACCUUCCAAGUCCCUCAGGAAGGCAACUAACGGGAGGAACUUAAUGUGCAUCCAGAGACCAAGAUGGCGGGAGUGUGGGAAACGUGGCUUUUAGCAUGCCAGCACCUUCCAAAGGGAAGAUAGGUGGAAUGGAGGUGAAGGGACCGAUGCAAAGUGCUAAACACAAGUUUAAAAUUUGGACUAUGGCUGUUUACAAGGAAGAAUCAAUGUCUUCACACAGGGAGAUCUUUAAAGGCUUUAUUAAAAUGCAGAGAAGGCUUUCCAACAAGGAUGCGAGGGCAGAUGGAAGUGAGAGGCCUUCAUAACGAGAUUAAGCAGAUGGGAAAGUUUACGACUAAUGAGAAGGGCAAAAGGACGCUAAAAGUGAUCAUUUUCUUGAAAUUAUAGUGAGGAGAAGGAUCUGUGCUUUACGUCUUGGGAACCUCCUCUGGUCAUGAACUCAGAAUGGGAAUUUUUUCCAGUAUUCUCUGGGGUAGCUGCUUUCAGAAAGAGGCGGAAAGGCAUGACACUACUUUAAGGUGUUCUAACAGAUUCUGUGAAUUUCAAGGCUAAUUAAUCUCAAGAAGUUUAUCAUUGAUGACAGCUGCUACGGCUUGAUCCUGCUCUUGCAAGGUUUGCACAUUACUAGAUUCCAGUUGGCAGAGUUUUAAGUGAAGUCUUCUUCUAUUUCAAGACAAGGGAAAUAUGAAAAGGGGUGUAUGUUGGAUCCAAUUUAGGCGCCUCCCCAGAUGCACUCUAUCUAGUAUGUCUUCUGGGCAUGCUUCUAACACAGAGCUCCCGUGCCCACUGUCACCACAUCUCCUGCCCACAGAGAUUAUGGUCUAAUUUUGGUCCAGGAUUUUAUAAUAAAGAUAAUAGAACAACAAAAAUGACCAAAUGUGUGACCUCACCAGAAUUUUCAUGUUGAAGUCAGGGUUCCAAUAAGGAAAGAGUGGGACUCUGAGAUCUAAAUAGACACAUUUGUUUGGGGAAGGGUGAGAACCACGAAGUCAGAAAUUAUCUUGCGUCCUCUUGGUUGUCAUAAGUAGCUUCCUCUCCCUUGAAAGAGGGGAAAGACGAGUCUUCCCUAGCCGAGACACCGUGCUGUUACCUUAUUUGAAGAAGUUGUCAUGCAAUGACACUUUUUCUCCUCAUGAGCUUCCCCCUACACCUAUUGCUUCCAAACAGCUAGCCAGGGGAAAGUCGAAGGAGAGUCCAAGCAAGAACAUACAAUCUUGCUCUAGAAGAAAAUGACAUGCAUGAGAAAAUUGCAGGACUUGGCUACUGUGUACAAGUGUGA